UAUUUUUAUACAAUUUACUUAUUUUUUUAUUACUUUUUCUUUUUUUGUUUCAAUCAAAACAGUACUUACAUUGGCUGUAUUUACCAUAUGGUAUAUUGUCUUUAACUUUAAUGUUAAAAUAUAAUUUUUCAAACAAAAAAAUACACAUGGUGUUCAUUGCCUAAUUUUAGUUCUCACGUGGUUUCUCCAACCAAAGACUUUGAAAUCAUUAAUAACCCUAUUAUAU
rnacentral:lncRNA from 1 species